GGCGUAUUUUGCCCAGGCGGAGCUCGACCGCCGAUUCAAGCCUUAAAGGGGUUCAUCGACGAUCACCGCGAUGCCUACGGGGUCGAGCCGAUCUGCAAGGUGUUGCCGAUCGCCCCG
rfam:Arenimonas metalli CF5-1 contig62, whole genome shotgun sequence.